rnacentral:rRNA from 1 species
CAGUAGCCGCGGUAAUACGAAGGGUGCAAGCGUUAAUCGGAAUUACUGGGCGUAAAGCGUGCGUAGGCGGUUUGUUAAGUCUGUUGUGAAAUCCCCGGGCUCAACCUGGGAAUGGCAAUGGAUACUGGCAAGCUAGAGUGUGUCAGAGGAUGGUGGAAUUCCCGGUGUAGCGGUGAAAUGCGUAGAGAUCGGGGGGAACAUCAGUGGCGAAGGCGGCCAUCUGGGACAACACUGACGCUGAGGCACGAAAGCGUGGGGAGCAAACAGGAUUAGAUACCCGGGUAGUCCCUGUCUCUUAUAC